AGAGUGGCAUAGCUACAGACUCCUGCUCCUGAGCUGGCUGGGGUGUAUGCGGGAUGUGAGAUGGUGAUAAGCUGACAAGGUUCCAGGUUUCCCCUACAUUAUUCUCCCCUGCAGACAUCCUCCCUGGACCCACAAGUUGAGUCUGUCCCCGCCCUUCACUUUGGGCAGACUGUGGAUGGGCCUCCCUUUCUACAGAUGGAACCUCUGUCUCUCCCUCACUUUCACUCCAUAUCCUCACACAUUCAGAACCUUGGGAAAUGGUUGAGUCUGGCGCAGAGUAAAGCCCAAACACACUCCGCUCUCUCUU